rnacentral:misc_RNA from 1 species
AAAUCUCAACCUUCUCGGUUUCUUCUGGACACCGAAGGAGGCUUGGACUUUGGAGGCCUUUGCUGGCAUCCCUUCUUCUUUUGAAGGCCAGCUCCUCUCAAAUGAAUUAGUGGGGUCCUCUUUGCCGAUCCUCGACGUGUGAUAAUAUGUUUCCAUGUCUUGGUUUAAUGGCUCUGUUGCCUUUGGGACCUGCUUCUAACCGUCUUGACGACAACGAGGUUCGAGGGUGUCUCCUCCCCUUCUCGGGGGGAAAGAGAUGCUCUGGAACCCAACGAAAC